rnacentral:rRNA from 1 species
GACGUAGGGUGCGAGCGUUGUCCGGAUUUACUGGGCGUAAAGAGCGCGCAGGCGGUCGUGCAAGUCGCGUGUGAAAGCCCCCGGCUCAACUGGGGAGGGUCACGCGAUACUGCUCGACUCGAAGGCAGGAGAGGGAAGUGGAAUUCCCGGUGUAGUGGUGAAAUGCGUAGAUAUCGGGAGGAACACCAGUGGCGAAGGCGACUUCCUGGCCUGUUCUUGACGCUGAGGCGCGAAAGCUAGGGUAGCAAACGGG